UACGGGGGGAGCAAGCGUUGUUCGGAUUUACUGGGCGUAAAGGGCGCGUAGGCGGUCAGCACAAGUCAGUUGUGAAAUCUCCGGGCUUAACUCGGAAAGGUCAACUGAUACUGUGCGACUAGAGUGCGGAAGGGGCAACUGGAAUUCUCGGUGUAGCGGUGAAAUGCGUAGAUAUCGAGAGGAACACCUGCGGCGAAGGCGGGUUGCUGGGCCGACGCUGACGCUGAUGCGCGAAAGCCAGGGGAGCGAACGGG
rnacentral:rRNA from 1 species